AGUGAACGCUGGCGGUAGGCCUAACACAUGCAAGUCGAACGGCAGCACAGUAAGAGCUUGCUCUUACGGGUGGCGAGUGGCGGACGGGUGAGGAAUACAUCGGAAUCUACUUUUUCUGGGGGGAUAACGUAGGGAAACUUACGCUAAUACCGCAUACGACCUACGGGUGAAAGCAGGGGAUCUUCGGACCUUGCGCGAUUGAAUGAGCCGAUGCCGGAUUAGCUAGUUGGCGGGGUAAAGGCCCACCAAGGCGACGAUCCGUAGCUGGUCUGAGAGGAUGAUCAGCCACACUGGAACUGAGACACGGUCCAGACUCCUACGGGAGGCAGCAGUGGGGAAUAUUGGACAAUGGGCGCAAGCCUGAUCCAGCCAUACCGCGUGGGUGAAGAAGGCCUUCGGGUUGUAAAGCCCUUUUGUUGGGAAAGAAAAGCAGCAGGUUAAUACCCCGCUGUUCUGACGGUACCCAAAGAAUAAGCACCGGCUAACUUCGUG
rnacentral:rRNA from 1 species